rnacentral:rRNA from 1 species
UUGACCUCAAAUCAGGUAGGAUUACCCGCCGAACUUAAGCAUAUCAAUAAGCGGARGAAAARAA